UACAGGGGGGGCAAGCGUUGUUCGGAAUUACUGGGCGUAAAGGGCUCAUAGGCGGCCAACUAAGUCACACGUGAAAUCCCCAGGCUUAACCUGGGAACUGCGUGUGAUACUGGAUGGCUUGAAUCCGGGAGAGGGAUGCAGAAUUCCAGGUGUAGCGGUGAAAUGCGUAGAUAUCUGGAGGAAUACCGGUGGCGAAGGCGGCAUCCUGGACCGGCAUUGACGCUGAUGAGCGAAAGCUAGGGGAGCAAACGGG
rnacentral:rRNA from 1 species